CGCGGGGUGGAGCAGUUGGCAGCUCGUCGGGCUCAUAACCCGAAGGUCACAGGUUCAAGUCCUGUCCACGCAACCA
rnacentral:tRNA from 1 species